AGGGUGGGGAAGCUUCUGUGUGCGAAAUAGCACAGAAGCCGAGUCCCGGCGCAAUCUUUCCAUAAGCGCCUGUGGCAGAUGUUGAGGCUGAAGUGCGGCGAGCAUAGAGACACGGCUGGGAUGAAGGGGCUAUACACCCUGAAGAUGAGGAGAUGGAGGAAGACUAAGAGCUCAAGGCCCAGCUCAUACCUAGGGAGAUCCUGCCUCAGACACUCAGCCUACCUGAUGCUUGUCUUCGCAAUUCAAGUCCUACUGGGGGACUUUUCCUUUUGGGAAGUCUGCAGUCAAUGUGAGCUCCGCCUGACACAUCACGGUGUGCCAUGGCAGAGCCUCCCCAGCAAUGGUCCUUUGGGUGAGAUGACUGGCUGGCUGGGACCUGGCUGGGCUCAGGGCGCAGUGGGUACCUCCUUCAGCCCUUAGCACCAGCAGCUGUGGCUGCUAAGCCCUGCAGCCAGAGAAAGUGGCUCUGCUGUCUGAGCCUAGUAAAUGCUUUUACGAGUCCUUUUACUAAUUUGGGCUAAUAUGUGGAGAAGCCAGGAGGACAGUUACAACCAAGGAGAGGCCCAGACCCUGUGUCUCCCUGGAACAAACACAGUCUGCCCUCCGGUGCACUCAGACGGCUCAGAGCUCCAGGGGGAGGGGAGGGGGCGGCCGGCCACCCUGACCGCGGGGAGGGUCACCCCGUGUCUGGGUCAAGCAGCGUCUGUGCCUGUGAUUGCUGUAGUUCUGUUUGUUUGUUUGCUGCCUCUGGGCUCUUGACUUUACAGCUAGAGCUGCUGCUGCAGAGCUGGUUAAGAGCAAAGACCUUGUACCAUCUGUCUUCAGCCAUUUAGAUAUGCCUAUUGGAUGUAACAAGCACAUUUACAACAUGAUGUUCCCACAGUGUU